rnacentral:tmRNA from 1 species
AAACUUGAAAAACUUGUUAUCAUAAGCUAUAUAUAUACUCGUUGAGCAAUCAACUGUGAUACCAGAGACACUGCGAAAUAGAGGUUUCGGACCCGGGGGCAGUACCCGGCACCUCCACCAAAAACUAUUAUGGGGGUGAAACAGGUUUGACGGGAUUUAGUAAAGGCAGAUGUUGUAUCCGGUGAGAUACCACCGUUAUCGGUUCAAAUUAAAAUAAAUGCUAACGAUAAUGAAUUAGCACCAGUUGCUUUGGCUGCUUAAUUGUAGUCGCAACAAACUCAAAUUCUUGUAGUCUUGGUUGACAACAAGUGGGGAGUGAGCCACCUAGCAACAGAACGGCUCAUUU